CGGAUCUCAGAUCAAGCAAGAGGACCCGCCGAAUUUAAGCAUAUAAUUAAGCGGAGGAAAAGAAACUAACUAGGAUUCCCUCAGUAACGGCGAGUGAAGCGGGACUAGCUCAGGAUGUGAAUCUGCGCUUUUAUGGCGCCGAAUUGUGGUCUGUAGACUUUGACAUUAUCUGCCGGGCCAAGUUCCUUGGAAAAGGACAGCUGAGAGGGUGAGACUCCCGUCCGCCUGGUGGAGUGAGUCAUUUGUCAACGAGUCGAGUUGUUUGGGAUUGCAGCUCUAAUUUGGUGGUAAAUUCCAUCUAAAGCUAAAUAUUGGUGGGAGACCGAUAGCGUACAAGUACCGUGAGGGAAAGAUGCAAAGAACUUUGAAAAGAGAGUUAAAGAGUACCUGAAACUGCUGAAACGGAAGCGAAGGAAACCAGUGUUUGUUGGUUCAUAUUUCCCCGGCCACUUGUGGUUUGGGCGCUGUGAGCUUGCGUGAGUUUGGGUUGGU
rnacentral:rRNA from 1 species